AUAGCCCUGCGGUGUUCGUGGGACUCGGGGAGUUUCGAGCCAACACCAAUACAAGAGGAGCCUGGGCUCUGGUUGUGGCUUGUAUGCCCUGACAGCAUCUUCCGUGAGGAGGAUGCUGGGAGUUGCUCUUGUGUUAGAGCACACUCCUUCACGGAGUGGAGCGAGGGACACAAAAAGCAACCAGGAGGGCACCACCGUGCUGAGCCGAGGUUCGGAAACACCCAGUAGCCACGGCAACCGCGGGGUUAUU
rnacentral:other from 2 species